GACGAAGGGGGCUAGCGUUGUUCGGAAUUACUGGGCGUAAAGGGCUCGUAGGCGGCCAACUAAGUCACACGUGAAAUCCCCAGGCUUAACCUGGGAACUGCGUGUGAUACUGGAUGGCUUGAAUCCGGGAGAGGGAUGCAGAAUUCCAGGUGUAGCGGUGAAAUGCGUAGAUAUCUGGAGGAAUACCGGUGGCGAAGGCGGCAUCCUGGACCGGCAUUGACGCUGAUGAGCGAAAGCUAGGGGAGCAAACGGG
rnacentral:rRNA from 1 species